rnacentral:rRNA from 1 species
UAAGCCAUGCGAGUCGACACAGCAAUGUGUGGCAUACGGCUCAGUAACACGUAGUCAACAUGCCCAGGGGACGUGGAUAACCUCGGGAAACUGAGGAUAAACCGCGAUAGGUCACUACUUCUGGAAUGGGUAAUGACCCAAACCUAUAUGGCCCCUGGAUUGGACUGUGGCCGAUCAGGCUGUUGGUGAGGUAAUGGCCCACCAAACCUGUAACCGGUACGGGCUCUGAGAGGAGGAGCCCGGAGAUGGCCACUGAGACAAGGGCCCAGGCCCUAUGGGGCGCAGCAGGCGCGAAACCUCUGCAAUAGGCGAAAGCUUGACAGGGUUACUCUGAGUGAUUUCCGUUAAGGAGAUCUUUUGGCACCUCUAAAAAUGGUGCAGAAUAAGGGGUGGGCAAGUCUGGUGUCAGCCGCCGCGGUAAUACCAGCACCCCGAGUGGUCGGGACGUUUAUUGGGCCUAAAGCAUCCGUAGCCGGUUCUACAAGUCUUCCGUUAAAUCCACCUGCUUAACAGAUGGGCUGCGGAAGAUACUAUGGAGCUAGGAGGCGGGAGAGGCAAGCGGUACUCGAUGGGUAGGGGUAAAAUCCGUUGAUCCAUUGAAGACCACCAGUGGCGAAGGCGGCUUGCCAGAACGCGCUCGACGGUGAGGGAUGAAAGCUGGGGGAGCAAACCGGAUUAGAUACCCGGGUAGUCCCAGCUGUAAACGAUGCGGACUCGGUGAUGA